GAUGAACGCUGGCGGCGUGCUUAACACAUGCAAGUCGAACGGAAAGGCUCCUGCUUGCCGGGGUACUCGAGUGGCGAACGGGUGAGUAACACGUGGGUGAUCUGCCCUGCACUUCGGUAUAAGCCUGGGAAACUGGGUCUAAUACCGGAUAGGACGAUGGUUUGGAUGCCAUUGUGGAAAGUUUUUCGGUGUGGGAUGAGCUCGCGGCCUAUCAGCGUGUUGGUGGGGUAAUGGCCUACCAAGGCGUCGACGGGUAGCCGGCCUGAGAGGGUGGACGGCCACAUUGGGGGUGAGGAAAGGCGCACAGGCCUCAGGGGGGCGGCAGUGGGGGAGAUUGCACCAGAGGGGCAAGCCGGAUGAAGCGACGCCGCGGGGGGGGGGACGGCGGUCGGGUUGUAAAAUCCUUUCAGCCAUGGGGAAGCACUGGUGGUGACGGUAGUGGGAGAAGAAGCACCGGCUAACUACGUG
rnacentral:rRNA from 1 species